AUGAGUGCAGUGUCUUAUCUAGCUAGCUACUUGUCUCGUGGAAAGUUUUUGCCUCCUUCUUUUGUUGCUAGCAUGUUGAAAAGAUUGGUGGAUGAGUGUGCGGAAUAUUGCAGAACAUGCAACGAUGGUAUGAAGCCAAAAGCACACCAAGUGUUUUAUUCUGGAUGUCAGAUUGUAGGCAAUCUUGUACUAUGUUUUCGUAUGAUAUCCAUCCUGGACAUUCCUCGCUUUCAGUCGCUGCUUACACCAUUGGAGUCAAUUUUAUGUCACAAACUAAACCCAAUGCACCAGCUUCUUUAAGGAGGAAAAGCAAAGGUAUCAGAAUGAUUACAUGGAAUCAAUAAAGAAGCUGGAGGAGAACUUUUUAUGAAUUUUACUUGUCUUUUAUUAUGUUUUAAUGUUUCCUAUGUUUAAAAUUUUAUGAAA